rnacentral:rRNA from 1 species
UACGGGGGGGGCAAGCGUUGUUCGGAAUUACUGGGCGUAAAGGGCUCGUAGGUGGCCAACUAAGUCAGACGUGAAAUCCCUCGGCUUAACCGGGGAACUGCGUCUGAUACUGGAUGGCUUGAGUUUGGGAGAGGGAUGCGGGAAUUCCAGGUGUAGCGGUGAAAUGCGUAGAUAUCUGGAGGAACACCGGUGGCGAAGGCGGCAUCCUGGACCAACACUGACACUGAGGAGCGAAAGCCAGGGGAGCAAACGGG